rnacentral:rRNA from 1 species
GUGUCAGCCGCCGCGGUAAGACGUAGGGGGCCAGCGUUGCUCGGAAUUACUGGGCGUAAAGGGUCCGUAGGCGGUGCGGCAAGUCGGGAGUGAAAUCCUGGGGCUUAACUCCGGGGCUGCUUCCGAAACUGCUGUGCUAGAGUGCGAGAGAGGCGAGUGGAAUUGCGGGUGUAGCGGUGAAAUGCGUAGAUAUCCGCAGGAACACCAGUGGCGAAAGCGGCUCGCUGGAUCGCAACUGACGCUGAGGGACGAAAGCUAGGGGAGCAAACAGGAUUAGAUACCCCCGUAGUCC